GUUGUGGCUCAGUGGUAGAGUGCUUCCCUAGCAUGUGUGUGGCACUGGGUUCGAUCCCCAGCACUACG
rnacentral:tRNA from 1 species